GCAGCCUGAGAUCCGUAAUAUGGCGGGGAGGAGGAGGAGAAGGCGGCGGCGGACCGAGCUGCGCUCUGUCAGUACCAUUUGAGCCAUUCGCUUCCUGACAAGGCCCGUGGCGAGGGGAGAGGAGCUGAAGGGGCCGUGGGGGAUCAGUUUCAUUUGAAACCUACGGGGAACCAAGCACUGUCGCUGCCCUCCAGGAAUUCAUACUCUACUGCUAAAAAUCGUCAUCAUCAUUAUCCUCUUAAUAAGAAAAGCAGUCCCCAUUAUUUGUUGCUUUCUGCGUGUUCUGCACUACGUUAAUUGCCCUACAUGCAUUAGCUCAUUGAAUUCUUACAACAUUCCUUUGAGACGGAUACCGUGAUCAUCCCUCUUUUACAGAGGACGAAACAGGUGUGGGGAUGGUAACUGGCUUGCCAAGAACUUGCAGCUAGUACGCAUCUGAAUAAGAAAUCUUCCCCUUUACCGCUUUUACAAGAAGUUUGCGUCUUUGGCGGAACUGAUGGGCAAAGAAACACUAGGUUCUGCAAAAAAAAAGCAGGAUCUGUUCUGUGUUACUUUUACCACUCUUUUCAGUGACAUGUCUGGCAGAGCACGGUGCCUGCUGUGUGCUGAUACUGUUCUGUGUAAUGGGGAUUCAGUGAACAAGACUGAAAAGGUACCUGUACUUAUGGCGCUU
rnacentral:lncRNA from 10 species